rnacentral:rRNA from 1 species
ACGAACGCUGGCGGCGUGCUUAACACAUGCAAGUCGAACGGAAAGGCCCUGCUUUUGUGGGGUGCUCGAGUGGCGAACGGGUGAGUAACACGUGAGUAACCUGCCUUUGACUUUGGGAUAACUUCAGGAAACUGGGGCUAAUACCGGAUAGGAGCUCCUGCUGCAUGGUGGGGGUUGGAAAGUUUCGGCGGUUGGGGAUGGACUGGCGGCUUAUCAGCUUGUUGGUGGGGUAGUGGCUUACCAAGGCUUUGACGGGUAGCCGGCGUGAGGGGGUGACCUGCCACAUUGGGACUGAGAUACGGCCCAGACUCCUACGGGAGGCAGCAGUGGGGAAUAUUGCACAAUGGGCUGAACCCUGAUGCAGUAACGCCGCGUGCGGGAUGACGGCCUUCGGGUUGUAAUCCGCUUUCGCCUGUGACGAAGCUUGAUUGACGGUAAUGGGUAAAGAAGCACCGGCUAACUACGUG